rnacentral:lncRNA from 1 species
GGUACUGCGUACUGAUUAGCCCGAGUCGUUGGAGUCGUCAGAUUCUAAAUGAAAGGUCGAGAUUAGAAGCUAGGGUAACAAUUUUGCCUACUGAAUCUAAACCGUAGAUCUUCUAUUGGAGGGUGUGUAGCACAAGUGGGUUCUCUGUCGUUGAUCUGAAAUCUUGCGAACAAUAGAUUGUACCUGGCCAGCUAUACGAGAGAUUUGAUCGUGGUUGUUGCCUUUAGAUCGUGCGGCCCAUAUCGCACCAUACCUCUUCGGUGUGUUACUAUGUCUGGUGCACAUGAUAGUGAAUAAUUACUCUGUCCUGUGCGUCAGACAGUUACUAUUCACUGUCCUGUGCACCAGCCAAUAGCACACUAAGUGCUUUUCCUCCAUUCUUUCUCCGUUUGACUUAAACUUUUGGGAGGAUUUUCCUAAGACUUAAACAAACACAUUUAGAGUAUAAUCCAAUUGAUUUAGUCCUAGAAACUUACUGAUACACCCAGCCCAGGUGGAGUUGGCCGAGGCCCAACAAGUUAGGGUUGCCGGGAGCCCUACAGUUCAUUAAGCACACCAACUCAGGGAAAGGCCCAAUCGCCCCAAAAUACUAGUCCAAUGGGGGAAGGGUGGCUCUCCCUUUUAAAGUGGCUUCCUCCUACCAAGUUAAGCAAGGUGGGAUAAUUCUGAGGCUCACACGGUCGCCGUCCGACUACAAUUGGGCCAACUGGGCCAAUUGCGUCUUUGCCAACGGGUAAUAGUGGAGGAUGUCCUCAUCAUUCCCACCUUCUUAAAAUGGGCCCUAGCUCUAAUACCAGAUGAUACACCCAGCCCAGGUGGAGUUGGCCGAGGCCCAACAAGUUAGGGUUGCCCGGAGCCCAACAGUUCAUUAAGCACACCCAACUCAGGGAAAGGCCCAAUCGCCCCAAAAG